rnacentral:rRNA from 1 species
UACGUAGGGUGCGAGCGUUAAUCGGAAUUACUGGGCGUAAAGCGUGCGCAGGCGGUUCGUUGUGUCUGAUGUGAAAGCCCCGGGCUCAACCUGGGAACUGCAUUUGAAACUGGCGGGCUUGAGUAUGGCAGAGGGGGGUGGAAUUCCGCGUGUAGCAGUGAAAUGCGUAGAGAUGCGGAGGAACACCGAUGGCGAAGGCAGCCCCCUGGGCCAAUACUGACGCUCAGGCACGAAAGCGUGGGGAGCAAACAGG